AUUCUCUGUUUAAGGGUAUUUGCAUAUAACCUGAUCCCUGUGUGUUUCAUAUCAAAAUGUUCAGACCAAACUCAACUUUCUGUAUAGUGACGCCCAAAAUUGUUCCAGAGCAAUUAAAGUGAUGUCAUUUUCUGCAGCACCAA